GUGAGGAAUAUUCCGCAAUGGGGGAAACCCUGACGGAGCAAUGCCGCGUGCAGGAUGAAGGCCCUCGGGUCGUAAACUGCUUUUAUAUGAGAAGAAUAUGACAGUAACAUAUGAAUAAGGGACGGCUAACUACGUGCCAGCAGCCGCGGUCAUACGUAGGUCCCAAGCGUUAUCCGGAGUGACUGGGCGUAAAGAGUUGCGUAGGCGGCUCGUUAAGCGUGAAAUGAAAUUUAUCGGCUCAACCGGUAAACUAUUUCGCGAACUGACGGGCUCGAGAGUAUGAGAGGUUACUGGAAUUUCUAGUGUAGCAGUGAAAUGCGUAGAUAUUAGAAAGAACACCAACGGCGUAGGCAGGUAACUGGCAUACAUCUGACGCUGAGGCACGAAAGCGUGGGGAGCGAACCGGAUUAGAUACCCUUGUAGUCC
rnacentral:rRNA from 1 species